ACCGUUAGAGGGGAAGCGGAUGCAGUUAGCAAUGYUCCUGCGAGAUUCAGGCGGUCGCUCGGCCAGACGUGUAGUUGGUGGAUCCGAAUGGACUGUCGCUGCACGGCCGGGUCUUGUGUCCGUCGCACUUCUCGCUGGAGCGCGUCAACAGCUGCUGGGCCUGGUCGACACGGUCGUGUGGAAGGUGAGCAUCCAGCUUGCUGGCUGUUGUUAUAUCCACUCGUGCCYAGGUCGGGCUUGGCAGAGGUGAGCGGUGCAUGCUCUCUCUCAACGGAGAGGGCUGGCGUCCUGUUCCGUUCACGUAGCUGGCUGGGAUGCACUGCGUGCAGUACGUUCUAGCCGGUGAAAUGGCGUGCAGUCAACGCACACGAUGCACCAUGGUUGUUGGCGGCCAUAUGGCUUUAUCCGACCCGUCUUGAAACACGGACCAAGGAGUCUAACAUGUGCGCAAGUCUUGGGGUGACCGAAACCCAGAGGCGCAAUGAAAGUGAAGGCUGCCUAGCAGCUGAGGUGAGAUCUUUGCUCUACGCGAGUGAGGCGCAUCAUCGACCGACCUAUUCUACUCUUAGGAAGGUUUGAGUAAGAGCGUACAUGUUGGGACCCGAAAGAUGGUGAACUAUGCCUGAGUAGGGUGAAGCCAGAGGAAACUCUGGUGGAAGCUCGUAGCGAUUCUGACGUGCAAAUCGAUCGUCGAACUUGGGUAUAG
rnacentral:rRNA from 1 species